GACAGAGGGUGCAAACGUUGUUCGGAAUUACUGGGCGUAAAGCGCGUGUAGGCGGCCCUGCAAGUCGGAUGUGAAAUCCCACGGCUCAACCGUGGAAGUGCAUUCGAAACUGCAGGGCUAGAGUCCUGGAGAGGAAGGUGGAAUGCUUGGUGUGGAGGUGAAAUUCGUAGAUAUCAAGCGGAACACCGGUGGCGAAGGCGGCCUUCUGGACAGUGACUGACGCUGAGACGCGAAAGCGUGGGGAGCAAACAGG
rnacentral:rRNA from 1 species